rnacentral:rRNA from 1 species
GACGAACGCUGGCGGCGUGCCUAAUACAUGCAAGUAGAACGCACAGGAUGCACCGUAGUUUACUACACCGUAUUCUGUGAGUUGCGAACGGGUGAGUAACGCGUAGGUAACCUGCCUGGUAGCGGGGGAUAACUAUUGGAAACGAUAGCUAAUACCGCAUAAGAACAUUUACUGCAUGGUAGAUGUUUAAAAGGUGCAAAUGCAUCACUACCAGAUGGACCUGCGUUGUAUUAGCUAGUAGGUGAGGUAACGGCUCACCUAGGCGACGAUACAUAGCCGACCUGAGAGGGUGAUCGGCCACACUGGGACUGAGACACGGCCCAGACUCCUACGGGAGGCAGCAGUAGGGAAUCUUCGGCAAUGGGGGGAACCCUGACCGAGCAACGCCGCGUGAGUGAAGAAGGUUUUCGGAUCGUAAAGCUCUGUUGUUAAGGAAGAACGAGUGUGAGAAUGGAAAGUUCAUACUGUGACGGACUAACCAGAAAGGACGC